rnacentral:ncRNA from 1 species
AAUAAAUUUUUUAUGGUUUAUUAAAUUUAUUUUGAAUUUAUUUUACAUAUAAAUUUUAGUGUUAAAUUUUAAUUAUUUUAAUAAUAAUUAAAUUUAAUUUUAUAGUAAUUAAUAUUAAAAAUUUAAGAAAUUGAGAUUUAGUAAUAAAAAAAUUAAUAACAAAUUUUGUGCCAGCAGUUGCGGUUAUACAAAAAUUAAAUUGAAUUUUAUUGGAUUAUUAGAAAAUAAAAAUUAAAAUAUUAAAAAUUUUAAAUUAUUAAGUGAAAUUUUAAUUUAAUUAAAAUUUAUUUAAAAUUAUGAUUUAAUAAAUUUUAUAAAAGACUAGGAUUAGAUACCCUAUUAUUAAAAUUUAAAAUUAAAAUACCAAAAUAGUAGAUAAUAAUAUUAUUGAAACUUAAAUAAUUUGGCGGUAUUUUAGUUCAUUUAGAGGAAUCUGUUUAAUAAUUGAUAAUCCACGAAUAAAUUUACUUAAUUUAUUUUUGUAUAUCGUUGUUUAAAAAAUAUUUUUUAAUAAAAAUAAUAUUUUAAUUUUUUUACAAAAAUUUAAAUCAGAUCAAGAUGCAGAUUAUAAUUAAGAAUAUAAUGGAUUACAAUAAAUUAAUUUAAAUGAAUAUUAAUUUUUAAAAGUUAAUUGAAGGUGGAUUUAAAUGUAAUUUUAUUUAGUUUAAUAAAAUGAUUUAAAAUUAGAAUAUGUACAUAUUGCCCGUCGCUUUCAUAUAAAUUUUAAAUUGAAAUAAGUCGUAACAAAGUAGAGGUACUGGAAAGUGUUUCUAGAAAGAC